UACAGAGGUCUCAAGCGUUGUUCGGAUUCAUUGGGCGUAAAGGGUGCGUAGGCGGCGCGGUAAGUCGGGUGUGAAAUCUCGGAGCUUAACUCCGAAACUGCAUUCGAUACUGCCGUGCUUGAGGACUGGAGAGGAGACUGGAAUUUACGGUGUAGCAGUGAAAUGCGUAGAUAUCGUAAGGAAGACCAGUGGCGAAGGCGGGUCUCUGGACAGUUCCUGACGCUGAGGCGCGAAGGCCAGGGGAGCAAACGGG
rnacentral:rRNA from 1 species